AUUGAACGCUGGCGGCAGGCCUAACACAUGCAAGUCGAACGGUAGCACAGAGAGCUUGCUCUCGGGUGACGAGUGGCGGACGGGUGAGUAAUGUCUGGGAAACUGCCUGAUGGAGGGGGAUAACUACUGGAAACGGUAGCUAAUACCGCAUAACGUCGCAAGACCAAAGAGGGGGACCUUCGGGCCUCUUGCCAUCGGAUGUGCCCAGAUGGGAUUAGCUAGUAGGUGGGGUAAUGGCUCACCUAGGCGACGAUCCCUAGCUGGUCUGAGAGGGUGACCAGCCACACUGGAACUGAGACACGGUCCAGACUCCUACGGGAGGCAGCAGUGGGGAAUAUUGCACAAUGGGCGCAAGCCUGAUGCAGCCAUGCCGCGUGUAUGAAGAAGGCCUUCGGGUUGUAAAGUACUUUCAGCGAGGAGGAAGACAUUAAGGUUAAUAACCUUAGUGAUUGACGUUACUCGCAGAAGAAGCACCGGCUAACUCCGUGCCAGCAGCCGCCGUAACAC
rnacentral:rRNA from 1 species